rnacentral:rRNA from 1 species
ACGAACGCUGGCGGCGUGCUUAACACAUGCAAGUCGAACGGAAAGGCCCUGCUUUUGUGGGGUGCUCGAGUGGCGAACGGGUGAGUAACACGUGAGUAACCUGCCCUUGACUUUGGGAUAACUUCAGGAAACUGGGGCUAAUACCGGAUAGGAGCUCCUGCUGCAUGGUGGGGGUUGGAAGGUUUCGGCGGUUGGGGAUGGACUCGCGGCUUAUCGGCUUGUUGGUGGGGUAGUGGCUUACCAAGGCUUUGACGGGUAGCCGGCCUGAGAGGGUGACCGGCCACAUUGGGACUGAGAUACGGCCCAGACUCCUACGGGAGGCAGCAGUGGGGAAUAUUGCACAAUGGGCGGAAGCCUGAUGCAGCAACGCCGCGUGCGGGAUGACGGCCUUCGGGUUGUAAACCGCUUUCGCCUGUGACGAAGCGUGAGUGACGGUAAUGGGUAAAGAAGCACCGGCUAACUACGUG